GAUGAACGCUGGCGGCGUGCCUAAUACAUGCAAGUCGAGCGAACGUACGAGAAGCUUGCUUCUCUGAUGUUAGCGGCGGACGGGUGAGUAACACGUGGAUAACCUACCUAUAAGACUGGGAUAACUUCGGGAAACCGGAGCUAAUACCGGAUAAUAUUUUGAACCGCAUGGUUCAAAAGUGAAAGACGGUCUUGCUGUCACUUAUAGAUGGAUCCGCGCUGCAUUAGCUAGUUGGUAAGGUAACGGCUUACCAAGGCAACGAUGCAUAGCCGACCUGAGAGGGUGAUCGGCCACACUGGAACUGAGACACGGUCCAGACUCCUACGGGAGGCAGCAGUAGGGAAUCUUCCGCAAUGGGCGAAAGCCUGACGGAGCAACGCCGCGUGAGUGAUGAAGGUCUUCGGAUCGUAAAACUCUGUUAUUAGGGAAGAACAUAUGUGUAAGUAACUGUGCACAUCUUGACGGUACCUAAUCAGAAAGCCACGGCUAAAUACGUG
rnacentral:rRNA from 1 species